AAAAUCGUGCAGUGUGAACUCGGCAUAACGCUCUCUCUCGGUAUCGCGAGAUUUCAUAAUCUUCCUCGCCGUGUGGGCGUUAACGCUGGAAGGUGUGCUUUAUGGCGGUGGCUGUUUCAGCGGUAAAUACUGUAUUGAACUGUAAAAGCUCCCCAUAUAUAAUCUCACAAGACACCCCAGCGGAGAGCAGGUGCUAGGGAGGCGAGGCUCUGAUGAUGGAGAAUGGACAGAGCAUGGCCUCGAAGCUCGGCCUGCCGCCCCUCACCCCGGAACA